GUGGGGAAUAUUGGACAAUGGGCGAAAGCCUGAUCCAAUCAUGCCGCGUGUGUGAAGAAGGUCUUCGGAUUGUAAAGCACUUUAAGUUGGGAGGAAGGGCAGUAAGUUAAUACCUUGCUGUUUUGACGUUACCGACAGAAUAAGCACCGGCUAACUUCGUGCCAGCAGCCGCGGUAAUACGAAGGGUGCAAGCGUUAAUCGGAAUUACUGGGCGUAAAGCGCGCGUAGGUGGUUUUGUAAGUUGGAGGUGAAAUCCCCGGGCUCAAACUGGGAACUGCCUCCAAAACUGCAUGACUAGAGUACGGUAGAGGGUAGUGGAAUUUCCUGUGUAGCGGUGAAAUGCGUAGAUAUAGGAAGGAACACCAGUGGCGAAGGCGACUACCUGGACUGAUACUGACACUGAGGUGCGAAAGCGUGGGGAGCAAACAGGAUUAGAAACCCCGGUAGUCC
rnacentral:rRNA from 1 species